CGGCGAACGGGUGAGUAACACGUGGGUAACCAACCCUUGACAUCGGGAUACCCCGGGGAAACCCCGGAUCAAUACCGAAUAAGGUGCGGAGACGCUGGUCACCGUACCAAAGGUAGCUUCGGCCUCCGGUCAGGGACGGGCCCGCGGCCCAUUAGCUAGUCGGUGGGGUAACGGCCUACCGAGGCAACGAUGGGUAGCUGGUCUGAGAGGACGAUCAGCCACACUGGGACUGAGACACGGCCCAG
rnacentral:rRNA from 1 species